rnacentral:snRNA from 1 species
AUCGCUUCUCAGCCUUUUGGCUAUACUAAGAUCAAGUAUAGUAUCUGUUCUUAUCAGUUUAAUAUCUGAUACAAAUACCAAAAAGGAAA